ACAAACUUGGUCAUUUAGAGGAAGUAAAAGUCGUAACAAGGUUUCCGUAGGUGAACCUGCGGAAGGAUCAUUAUUGAAUUAACUUGGAUGCUGUAGCUGGUGUUUUCACAACACAUGUGCUCGCGUUCACUUUAUUUCUAAUCUUUUGUGCACCUUUUCUAGUCUCGAGUUUCCAACGUGAACCUCUCGCAUUUUUAAUGCGGAUCUAGGGUGUUUGAACUUAACACGUUCUCACUCUUACUCACAAGUAGGGCUUGAGAUUAGGUUUCAUAUACCUUUGUAAAUGUUAUAGAAUGUCAUCUUGUUGGCGCAAGCCGAUAAAACCUAUACAACUUUCAGCAACGGAUCUCUUGGCUCUCCCAUCGAUGAAGAACGCAGC
rnacentral:misc_RNA from 1 species